CGUAGGGACCGAGCGUUGUCCGGAUUCAUUGGGCGUAAAGAGCUCGUAGGCGGCCACUCAAGUCGAAUGUGAAACCUCGAGGCUUAACCUCGAGCCUGCAUUCGAUACUGGGCGGCUAGAGUCUGGUAGGGGGAUCUGGAAUUCCUGGUGUAGCGGUGGAAUGCGCAGAUAUCAGGAGGAACACCGGUGGCGAAGGCGGGAUCCUGGGCCAGUACUGACGCUGAGGAGCGAAAGCGUAGGGAGCAAACAGGAUUAGAUACCCUGGUAGUCCACGCCGUAAACGAUGGGCGCUAGGUGUGGGAGGUCAUCGACUCCUUCCGUGCCGCAGCUAACGCAUUAAGCGCCCCGCCUGGGGAGUACGGCCGCAAGGCUA
rnacentral:rRNA from 1 species